rnacentral:tRNA from 1 species
GGUAAAGUGGCUGAAUUUAGGCGGUAAAUUGUAAAUUUAUGUAUGGAUAUAAAAUCCCUUUAUCA